AUCCAGACUCCUACGGGAGGCAGCAGUGGGGGAUAUUGCACAAUGGGGGAAACCCUGAUGCAGCGACGCCGCGUGGGUGAAGAAGCGCCUCGGCGCGUAAAGCCCUGUCAGCAGGGAAGAAGAUGACGGUACCUGACUAAGAAGCCCCGGCUAACUACGUGCCAGCAGCCGCGGUAAUACGUAGGGGGCAAGCGUUAUCCGGAUUUACUGGGUGUAAAGGGAGCGUAGACGGCGAUGCAAGCCAGAUGUGAAAGCCCGGGGCUCAACCCCGGGACUGCAUUUGGAACUGUGUGGCUGGAGUGUCGGAGAGGCAGGCGGAAUUCCUAGUGUAGCGGUGAACUGCGUAGAUAUUAGGAGGAACACCAGUGGCGAAGGCGGCUUACUGGACUGUAACUGACGUUGAGGCUCGAAAGCGUGGGGAGCAAACAGGAUUAGAUACCCUAGUA
rnacentral:rRNA from 1 species